AAUUGGAGGGCAAGUCUGGUGCCAGCAGCCGCGGUAAUUCCAGCUCCAAUAGCGUAUAUUAAAGUUGUUGCAGUUAAAAAGCUCGUAGUUGAAUUUCGGGAUUGACACAUCGGUCGUGCCCUAAGGGGUAUGAACUGGUGUAGUCAAUUUCUCACCUUCUGGAGAACCGCGCUGUCCUUAAUUGGGUGACGCGGGGAACCAGGACCUUUACUUUGAAAAAAUUAGAGUGUUUAAAGCAGGCAUUUUGCUUGAAUACAUUAGCAUGGAAUAAUAAAAUAGGACGGCAUGAUUCUAUUUUGUUGGUUUCUAGGAUCACCGUAAUGAUUAAUAGGGAUAGUUGGGGGCAUUAGUAUUCAAUUGUCAGAGGUGAAAUUCUUGGAUUUAUUGAAGACUAACUACUGCGAAAGCAUUUGCCAAGGAUGUUUUCAUUAAUCAAGAACGAAAGUUAGGGGAUCGAAGACGAUCAGAUACCGUCGUAGUCUUAACCAUAAACUAUGCCGACUAGGAAUCAGACGAUGUUAAUUUUUUAAUGACUCGUUUGGCACCUUACGGGAAACCAAAGUGU
rnacentral:rRNA from 1 species